rnacentral:lncRNA from 1 species
GCUGUAGGCUGUAGGCUGCAUCUCACUGUAGUAGACUGUAGGCUGUAGGCUGCAUCUCACUGUAGUAGGCCGUAGGCUGCAUCUCACUGUAGUAGACUGCAUCUCACUGUAGUAGACUGUAGGCUGCAUCUCACUGUAGUAGACUGUAGGCUGCAUCUCACUGUAGUAGACUGUAGGCUGCAUCUCACUGUAGUAGGCUGUAGGCUGCAUCUCACUGUAGUAGGCUGCAUCUCACUGUAGUAGGCUGUAGGCUGCAUCUCACUGUAGUAGGCCGUAGGCUGCAUCUCAUUGUAGUAGGCUGUAGGCUGCAUCUCACUGUAGUAGGCUGUAGGCUGCAUCUCACUGUAGUAGGCUGUAGGCUGCAUCUCACUGUAGUAGGCUGUAGACUGCAUCUCACUGUAGUAGGCUGCAUCUCACUGUUGUAGUAGGCUGUAGACUGUAUCUCACUGUAUUAAGCUGCAUACUACAGUUACAUACAUGUUAAAUACCACUACAGUUACAUACAUGAUGUUACAUACUACUACAGUUACAUACAUGAUGUUACAUACAUGAUGUGAUGUUACAUACUACUACAGUUACAUACAUGAUGUGAUGUUACAUACUACUGCAGUUACAUACAUGAUCUGAUGUUACAUUAUACUACAGUUACAUAGAUGUUACAUACAUGAUGUUACAUUCAUGAUGUUACAUUCUACUACAGUUACAUACAUGUUACAUUCUACUACAGUUACAUACAUGAUGUUACAUACAUGAUGUUACAUACUGCUACAUUUACAUACAUGUUAAAUACUGCUACAGUUACAUAGAUGUUACAUACAUGAUGUUACAUACUGCUACAUUUACAUACAUGUUAAAUACUGCUACAGUUACAUACAUAAUGUUACAUCUACUACAGUUACAUACAUGAUGUUACAUACUACCAAUACAUUUACAUAAUUGAUG